rnacentral:rRNA from 1 species
UGAGGAAUAUUGGUCAAUGGACGCAAGUCUGAACCAGCCAAGUAGCGUGCAGGAUGACGGCCCUAUGGGUUGUAAACUGCUUUUAUAUGGGGAUAAAGUGGGGAACGUGUUCCCGUUUGCAGGUACCAUAUGAAUAAGGACCGGCUAAUUCCGUGCCAGCAGCCGCGGUAAUACGGAAGGUUCGGGCGUUAUCCGGAUUUAUUGGGUUUAAAGGGAGCGUAGGCCGUUUGGUAAGCGUGUUGUGAAAUGUAGGAGCUCAACUUCUAGAUUGCAGCGCGAACUGUCAGACUUGAGUGCGCACAACGUAGGCGGAAUUCAUGGUGUAGCGGUGAAAUGCUUAGAUAUCAUGAAGAACUCCGAUUGCGAAGGCAGCUUACGGGGGCGCAACUGACGCUGAAGCUCGAAGGUGCGGGUAUCGAACAGG